GUCGUAAAAUAAGAACAUAUACUAAAAAUUGGAAUAAUACAAAGAAGAUUAGCAUGCCCCUGCACAAGGAUGACAUGCAAAUUCGUGAAGCAUCCCAUAUUUUA
ensembl:snRNA U6 U6 spliceosomal RNA